AUUGAACGCUGGCGGCAGGCCUAACACAUGCAAGUCGAACGAGAGGCGGACGGGUUAGUAAUGUCUGGGAAACUGCCUGAUGGAGGGGGACAACUACUGGUAACGGUAGCUAAUACCGCAUACCAUCGGAUGUGCCCAUAUGGGAUUAGCUAGUUGGUGGGGUAACGGCUCACCAAGGCGAAGAUCCGUAGCUGGUUUGAGAGGAUGACCAGCCACACUGGAACUGAGACACGGUCCAGACUCCUACGGGAGGCAGCAGUGGGGAAUAUUGCACAAUGGGCGCAAGCCUGAUGCAGCCAUGCCGCGUGUAUGAAGAAGGCCUUCGGGUUGUAAAGUACUUUCAGCGGGGAGGCGUUACCCGCAGAAGAAGCACCGGCUAACUCCGUGCCAGCAGCCGCGGUAAUUC
rnacentral:rRNA from 1 species